CUUUGUGCUUUCCAGCCUUCAGUUGUUCAUAUGGUUUCUCUAUGAACUCAUCAAUCUCAGAUUCACUUAUGUCUGAGUCUUCUUCUGAAUCAUAGUCCAUUUGACUAAUCAAAUAUUAAUUGGUAGCAAGCAGUUCUAGAGAACUACGAAGAAGAGCAAAGUGGGCUUCACCGAUUAUGGUCUCAUCAGAGAGACACCAAGAAGCUGCUUAGCACUAACAUAAGCAUGCUCUGGUC